rnacentral:rRNA from 1 species
UACGAAGGGGGCUAGCGUUGCUCGGAAUCACUGGGCGUAAAGGGUGCGUAGGCGGGUUUUUAAGUCAGAGGUGAAAUCCUGGAGCUCAACUCCAGAACUGCCCUUUGAUACUGAAAGUCUUGAGUAUGGGAGAGGUGAGUGGAACUGCGAGUGUAGAGGUGAAAUUCGUAGAUAUUCGCAAGAACACCAGUGGCGAAGGCGGCUCACUGGCCCAUAACGUGAC